rnacentral:rRNA from 1 species
CGUAGGAUGCAAGCGUUGUCCGGAAUUAUUGGGCGUAAAGCGUACGUAGGCGGUUUGUUAAGUCAGGGGUUAAAGACUGAGGCUCAACCUCAGGAGUGCCCUUGAUACUGGCAGGCUGGAGGACGGCAGAGGAAAGUGGAAUUCCCAGUGUAGCGGUGAAAUGCGUAGAUAUUGGGAGGAACACCAGUGGCGAAAGCGACUUUCUGGGCCGUUCCUGACGCUGAGGUACGAAAGCGUGGGGAGCAAACAGGA